AGUGUAGUGGGUCGGGAGGAGAUUUUUGCGGGGGUCGAACCGAGCCUCGCUGACCCCAGCUCGCAUGUAGUAUGUGGGUGCUCCAACGAGCAUAGCUUGGGGCCUUUUUAGCAUCAGAUGGGCCCUCUUCUCCCUCCCCACCCACCGCCGCCGCCGCGACGACCAUCCGCCCAGCGCGGCCAUGGUGCCGGCCCUCGCCCUCGCCCCGAUUCGCGACCUCCUCACCUCCUUCAGCCCCUCCUCCGACUUCCUCGCCCUCUCGUCCGGCGACGGCCGCAUCAAGGUAUGGGACGCCGUGCGCGGCCACUUGCAGACGGAGUUCGCCGACAUCCCCGCAGUGGAGGUCGGGGCGCUCCCCGAGACGAAGCGCGGCCACCUCGCCCUCGACUACACCUGCAUGAAGUGGGUACAACUCUCCACCAAGAAGAAGCGGAAGGCUGGGAGUUCGCUGCUCGUGCUUGGGACGGGCAGUGGCGAUGUCCUUGCGCUCGACGUUGCUGCGGGCCACUGGAAGUGGAGGAUCAGCGAUUGUCAUCCUGGGGGUGUGACAGCAGUGGCAUACUCGAGGCAUGGGCGGAGUGUGUACACAGGAGGCGCUGAUGGCAUGGUCUGUAAGAUUGAUGCCUCAGAUGGAUCUGUUGCAGGGAAAUUUAAAUCUUCGUCGAAGGCAAUAUCUGCGUUGGCAGUUUCAUCAGAUGGAACAGUUUUGGCAACAGCAGCUGGUCAGUUGAGGACCUUUGACGCUUCUGACAACAAAAAAAUUCAAAAAUUCUCUGGGCAUCCGGUGUCUGUGAGAAACAUGAUUUUUAGUAACAAUGGCAAAUAUGUUCUGUCAUCUGGAGUUGGGGAACGCUAUGUUGCCAUUUGGAAGUUGGGCAGUGGUAAAAGUCAGAGUUCAAGCUGUAUACUCUCUAUGGAACACCCAGCAAUCUUUGUAGACUGCAUGUGUUCAGGUACUAAUGCUACUGAAGGAGAAAUAGAUGUGUUGGCUAUCUCUGAGGUUGGUAUCUGCUAUUUCUGGUCUGGAAAUAACAUGGAUGACUUGCGCAAUAAGAAGCCUACUAAGAUUGCCUUGUCCGAGUCCUCCCUUUCAAGAACGAAUCAGGAUUUCAUGAUAUUUGCCGCAAAACUUCAAGGAAUAGAUGGACCUAAUUCGGCUCAUGUCCUUCUGGCAUAUGGAUCCGUGGUGAAACCAUCUUUUGAUAAGCUGCUGGUUUGUUAUGGUAAGGAUGUUAAUUUGGGUGUAUCUGAAGAUGGAGUUCUCUUACCUACAGUUCAACCCACCAUGCACCAGAAAGGUCAAUCUGCUAAAACAAAAGUAACUAUCACUGCUCUAGACCGUGCGAAUGCAGAAGAUGCCAUUCUUCCUCUUCCGAAGCUUCAUACACAAGAAAAGAAAAGGAAACAUGGUGUAACAAAACCGAGUGGCGUCAAACUUGCGAUUGAUAGUGACCUUGGUACCACUUCAAGGUUGACCGAGAAAAGAGUUCCAGUGCAAAGAAUUGAAAACGACAGCAUAUGCAUUGAAGAUCUGAUGAGGAAAUAUGGCGUCAUUGAUCAGAGUCUCGUCGGCCAUCCUGACAUGGCCACUAAAAUCUUAUCAGAUAUGUUUAGUAGCAGUGGCAUAACAAUUGACGCUAAUUUACCCAGCAAGAAGAUUCGAGCACAUCUAAGAUCUUUAAAGCCUGGAGAUGCUUGCAAGCUUCUAGAGAAUUUAGUAUGUGCAUGGAGAUCAAGAUCUGGUAGCGCUGAGCUUGUUUUGCGUUGGAUAUACUGCUUACUGGUAAUUCAUGGUCGUUUUAUCCCCUUGGAGAAAUCAAGAAAACUAAUUAGCACCUGGAGAAGUUUCCUGGCAACCUCUUUGAGAAAGAUGUAUCAAUGGUGGCGAGAACUCACCUGCUGCAAUUGAACACAGUGUGCACAUUCAAAUUGGCCUACAGGAAACCUCUGUUAGUGAAAAAGCCCAGAUGCAAACUCACGAUUGUAACCUUCUAUAGUCAGUGUGAAGAGCACAGUCUGGAAGAUGUGUGCAGAAAGAUACACAGCAACUGAAGAUUUACUGAAGCUUUCUGGUCGUCUUCGGCUGAUAAUGGCACAGGUUGACAAGGAUGUGAAAGAUGUAUCGGCGAAGGCCGCAGUCCAAUCUGAUGAAGAGGAAGAAGAUGAAAUUGAUGAAAUGGUGUAUGGUGAAGACGUGGAUUUGUCUGAAAACAGUGACGAUGAUGCUGAGUAGAAUCGCAGCAUUGUUGGCAUGUCUCCGAGAGACUUUUCGACUUUGUGUACGGUCAAGAUGUAUUUUUCAAGCUUAGAGCCCAUAGUCAAGUUUGUAAAACGCGCAACGACGGAAGGUUACACUAAUUUUGACAACAGGAGGUAAUAUCUGAAAGGCAUUUUUGUA